AGGCUGGAGCAGGCUCCCACUGCUCGAGGGGAGGUGUGGAGGGAGAAGCACAGGCAGGAGCCGGGGCUGCCCGCAGCACUAGUGGCCUGGUGUGGGAUCCGGGUGGGAGUGGGUUUCGCGUGGGCGAGGGCUCAGUGGCCUGCACUCAGCGCUGCCGACUGGUGCCUGCUGGGCUUGAUGGGGGGAUGAACUCCCUCUGGGCUGCUGGAGUGCCCCGGCUAGAUGCCACAAAGUCCCAUGAUCUUGCUGCUGCUCACUCUUUGAGACUGCGCUGCCUUUAAAAGCUAUAACACUCACUGCAAAGUUCUACAGCUUCACUCCCGAAGUCAGCGUAGAACACGAACCCACCAGAAGGAAGAAACUUCAGACACGUCCGAACAGCAGAAGGAACAAACUCUGGACACACCAUCUUUAAGAAAUGUAACACCGCGAGGGUCUGCAGCUUCAUUCUUGAAGUUAGGGAGACCAAGAACCUACCAAUUCUGGACACACUGGGAUUACAGGCAUGAGCCACUGUGCCUGGCUAAGAGAUCCUCAUUUUUACAAAAAAAUGAAAAAAUGAGUUGUAUGUGGCAGCACAUGCCUGUAGUCCUAGCUACUCAGGAGGCUGAGGUGGGAGGAUUGUUUGAGCCCAGGCUGCAGUGAGCUAUGAACGUGACACUGCACUCCAGUCUGGGUGACAGAAAGCGAUCAUCUAAAAGAAGAAAUAGAGAAGCAGUGUAGUUGUGAGAAAAUUGUGUGACCUUGAACAAGUACCUUAACCUUAUCAGGUCUCUAUAAAAUAGGAAAAAUAUCACCUACCUGAUGGGCUUGCUAUGACGAGUAAAGGAAUUAUAUUGGUAUCAAUACAGUGUCUGGCGUAAUGCUAGCAUAUGCUGUAGGAAUGCCAGAGACAUGGUAAUUACCAUUAUUAUUGAGUUAUUGGAGUUUUGGUGUUUAAGAAAGGGUUGUUGCUUUGACUAAAAGCAUUGCUCCACUCACUGUAAGAUCAGGGAAGUCAGAAAAUCACCAUUAUCUGAGCAGGUAGUUUCCUUGUGAAGCAAAAAAUUGCAGAAGCUGCUCCAGAGCGUAGGGCAGGAUUCCACUGGACACUUGUCAGGGAGAAAUAUGAGUCCCCAGCUGAUGGAGAACCUUUUGUCUUUUGUUGGGCAGCCUAUGAACACUGUAUAUUUAAAAACAAACACUUCUGUGAUUGCUUAGGACUAAAUUUAAUCGUUGUAUUUGAGAGUGGCAUUUAACAACUUCCUGCUUUUAAAAUACUUAAAUACCUAAGAUACUCUGCCAAAUGGAAAGAAUUUGUUCUCCGAACACAGUGCCUCCAACAUUAAAUAUUCUGGACACUUCGUUGGUUCGCAACUGUGAUACUUGGAAACUUGCCACGUUAGAUUCUUCAGGAUUCUAAAAUAACCUUUUCCUGACUUCAUUUAUUUAAAUAUCCCAGAAUAAUCUCUUAAGCUAUAAGUUUGAUGAUCCAGGAAACUAUUUAUAGGAGGAUGAGUACUCUCUGUGACUGAUGGUAGUUAUGUUUUAUUUUGAGAAGGACAAAUCAUUAAAAAGAUUGAUAGGGCUGGUGGUAUUUUAAACUGAAAGCAGUACCAAGGCAAACAAGGCAGUUGAGGUAUGAAGUUGGAACAUAAUAAGAUAUGGGUGUAAUUUUCAUCAACUUAGCUAAGACCUAGGGAGGUCUUCCAAUAGAAGGAAGGCAGAAACAGGCAGUAACACAGACAGUGAUCUUUUAGGUCCACUGGACACUUUAGCUUAGGCAGCUCGGGUUGUUUGCUCAGUGAUUAACAACUGAGAUAAACAGAUGGAGACAGGACUCUGUCAUAAUUAAGGUCAACAGUGUGCUUGGUAUUAUUGAUAUUGCCCCUAGGUAGGAGAAAAACAGAGGAAGGAAGGUCAAGGUCAACCUAACUUAAAAAAACUUUAAAAAAUUGUGGUGAAAUAUACAUAAAAUUUACCAUUUUCAUCAUUUUUAAAUGUACAAAUCUGUCACUGAUCAUGCACAUUGUUAUGCAACUACCACCAGCAUCUAUCUCCAGAACUUUCUCAUCUUCCCAAACUGAAACUCUGUAUCCCUUAACUCUCCAUUUCACUCUACUUGUGAAACCGCUUUUCUGUCUUUAUGUAGUUUAUUGUAGGUGCCUGAUACAAGUGGAAUCAUAUUAAAUUUUGAAUAUAAAAUUAAAAAUUAAAAAAAAUUAAUUUUGAUUUGUUUGGCUUUCCACUUAGCGUAUUUUCAAGGUUCAUUCAUGCUGUAGCAUUUAUCAGACUUUCAUUCCUUUGUCUUUUCAAAGCUGUAUAAUGUACUGUUACGCGUAUACACUAAAUUUAGAAAACUCAUUCAUCUGUCAAUGGACAUGUGGAUUGUUUCCUCCUUUUAGCUACCGUGA
rnacentral:lncRNA from 1 species